UUGGAGCAGCGGUGCAUUCGCUAUGUUGACAACUUUAGUUCAGGUCAUAGGGGAGCCACAUCCACUGAGUAUUUGUUCUUGCACUUGCUCUUGUUCUUGUUCUUGUCAAUGAAACUUUUUCUUGGAUAUUUGUUUGGUGACCUCUUGGAGGGGAAUGAAUACUAUGUUGCUGGUUAUGUUGAGUGUAGGUAUUUUCUGAAGGCGCGAUAUGCUGUGAUCUUCUUGUACCGGAGUUUGUCUCUUUAAACCAA